UAGAUGUAAUGCUAUUAGAAACAUGAUUCA
rnacentral:piRNA from 1 species